ACCUUCUCAGAAGGGGAUGAACUCAUGGCAGAAUUAGAAGAACUAGAACAGGAGGAACUAGACAAGAAAUUUGCUGGAAAUCAGUGGACCUGAAGCAGUUCCUCUACCAAAUGUUCCCUCUAUAGCUCUAACCAUCAAAACCCACCAAGAAGAAGGAAGAGGAAGACGACGACAUGAAGGAAUUGGAGACCUGGGCUGGAACCUUAAAUUAACUGGCCCAUUGCAAGCUGGGCCCAGACAGACUCUGGUGACCUGCAAAUGGGCAGGCGUUUGCGUGUGCAGGGCAGGCAGGACGUGGUGCAGGCAGGUUCCAUCGCUCUCGAAUCUCCCUCCAAAGCAGUUGGGCUGCAUCACUGCUCACUCUGCCUAGCAUGGUCUGUACCCAGCGGGGUGGGCGGGGUUAAGGGUGGGUGGGUGGGAUGGGAGGUGCCUGCUGUUUAUAAUGUUGAAUUUCUGUAAAAUAAACUGUAUUUGCAAAUCCAACAUUGAGCUUCUGGACUACGCUAACUCCACUGCUGAACCUCAAUGGAAAGGGUCGACCAUUUGCAGUUGAAAUGAUCUAAAAAUGUAGCCUCUGUCCUUUGAAUUCAGUUGACUUGUCGUACAUCUCUUUGUAAGACUUGUAUGGUACUGGCAGAAAAGUCGUUUUUAAAAGCCAUAGGCUUUUCCUUGUCCUUAGCUGUAAUAAUGCAUCUGAUUUUGGUUUCCUCAAGAGCUGUAUUUCUGUCCAUCACCUGUGUACUGGCCCCCGUGUUUUCUAUUCCAGCCCACUCCUCACUUCCACUUCCCUGGUCUUUUGACAUUUGUGACACUGAUUUGAAAUGGAUGGUGUUCUCUUGAGAACAAGUGAGAUUGUUAGAGUUAAAUUCCGGCUAUAUGUUUUUCUAACAUAGCUCUAAGGUCCUUGUUGCUGUUUGUGAUAACUGAUAGAUAACUCAUUGGAAACAUGUGCAUACAUUUAUAUUCAGAUGAAAUUAUGGUUUGCACUGUCUAUUAAAUAUCUCAAUUAAUUUUCA